rnacentral:rRNA from 1 species
ACGCUCGACACCUACGGGAGGCAGCAGUGAGGAAUAUUGGUCAAUGGGCGCUAGCCUGAACCAGCCAAGUAGCGUGAAGGAUGAAGGCUCUAUGGGUCGUAAACUUCUUUUAUAUAAGAAUAAAGUGCAGUAUGUAUACUGUUUUGUAUGUAUUAUAUGAAUAAGGAUCGGCUAACUCCGUGCUAGCAGCCGUGGUAAUCUGAGCGGGCUGGCAAGGC